AUAUCUAAGUAAAUAGUUGAAGAGUGGGUUUUGCUAUAUUAUAAAUCGUUUUUAAUAUAGCAAUUGGCACUGUAUAGAAAAUUUAUAGGUGUAGGUGAAUGUUGUGAAAAAACCAAUUGAUUUAAAUUCUUUAGUGAGCAGUUAUAAAAAUUUACCAGAGGAAGCUUUUGAAGGAAUUAAAAAAUUUUUUAAUUUUACUAUCAGCAAUGCAGAGAUUGAACAGAUUUCUGCUUUUAUUGAUAAUUUAAUUGUGGAGGAUAGAUUCUUUGGAUAUUUUUAUGUAGGUUACAAGAUACCUCAAAUAGAUAAGGAAUUUGACUUACUUAGAUUUG
rnacentral:misc_RNA from 1 species